AACUCAAGAGCUUUCACUCCACACUUGCUCACACGUUUUUGCCUCCAAGCUUCCAAGCUUUCAAGUGCUCAAGUAUCCUAGCUUUCCAAAGCUUCAAAAGCUCUCCAACUUCUUCUUCUAAUCUUCUUGUUCAUCUUUACAAGUAAGAAGUGUUGUUUGCUUUAAUAUUCCACUCCUCUAAUCACCUCUUGUGUGUGUCCACUUUUGUUGAGAGGGUUGUCUCAAUAGUACCAAAGUGUUAGAGAAGGUUUGUGAGCUCAACCAUAAAGCUCUAGUUUGGUUUUAUAGAGUUUCCUGGAAAACUCUUAGGUUGAGUCUACCUUUAAAGAUUUCAGAGGUUUUUAAGAGUUCCUUGAUACUCUAAGGUGCUAACUUACCCGUAAAAGUUAGAGGUUCUUAAGAGUGCCCUUGAUACUCUAAGGUGUGAGUCUACCCGUAAAAGACUGGUUCCUAAGCGAAGUAGCCUUAAAGCUUAGAGAGGUUUUUAAGAGUUCCUUGAUACUCUAAGGUACUAACUUACCCGUAAAAGUUAGAGGUUCUUAAGAGUGCCCUUAAUACUCUAAGGUGUGAGUCUACCCGUAAAAGACUGGUUCCUAAGCGAAGUAGCCUUAAAGCUUAGAAAGGUUUUGCCAUUACCUUUAGGCGAGUGAAUUCUGGCAGUUGGUCGGGACUGGACUAGCCCUUGUUUGGGUGAACCAGUAUAAAUCUCUUGUGUUGUUCUCUGUUAAUUAUAGCUUUAUCUUUUGUUUAAAAAACAACACUUAAUUAAAAAGAUCCCUCUUCCAGUUAUCUGGUCAAACACAAAGGUUGACUACUUUACACAGAUCCCUCAUCCAGUUAUCUGGUCAACUAUCUGAGGUUAUAUUCAUUGCUUUAAAUCUUUAUAUUUGUUCAAGUACUACUUAUCAUAUUUAUCCAGUUAUCUGGUCACUUACUUGUUUAUCAACUUAUCCAGUUAUCUGGUCACUUACUUGUUUAUCAAUAUAUCCAGUUAUCUGGUCAUUUACUUGCGUAUCAAUAUAUCCAGUUAUCUGGUCAUUUACUCUACAUUACAAUUUGUGUUUUCAAUAUAACUUAGUAUUCAUAUACUAUAGUUGUGUGUAAAACACUAUCAAGCAAGUUGACUCAGUAUUCAUAUACUGUAGUAAGCUUCGGAGAGUAAUACUUACAUCAUUAUAUCAAUCAAAAUCAUAAUAUCCUUAUAUCAUUACUUGUUCAACCAUUUGUUUAUUAAGCAUUU
rnacentral:lncRNA from 1 species